rnacentral:lncRNA from 1 species
CCUAUUUCCAAAUAAGGACACAGUCUGAGGCACUGAGGCCUAGGACUUCACCAGUCUGGGGGAGGCAUGACUCAAUCCCUAAUGCUUGUGUCAAGAAAAAUACCAGUUGAGGUGUUUGCUGCCAGCUAAGAACAUAACAAGCAGGGCACAUGGGCAGCGACUACCCCCACUCACAGCCAAAGCAGCAAAUACCUGCAGACAGCAUCCUCCCCUGCCUGGACUCAGCCUGAAAACCACAUCCUAAGGGAGAGGAAGGAGGCUAAUUUGACAUUCCUGGCACCAUCCCCUCCUCUCAUGUCCUUCUCGAAGCUGGCCGCCAGGUCCCCAAGAACCCCGCAUGACUUGCUGGAGAGCUGCGAUUUGUUUUUGUCCUAUUAGCUCCUGCAAAGGACAGAAACAGAUUGCUGGGCUAGAGGGAUGGCCUGGGAAGAAUACGGAUGAGGAACUGGCUGCAUGAGGCGGGAGCAGGAAGGUUGCGAUGAACGGGUCCAGACAAAGGUCUCCUGGUGGAUUUCUACUCUGGGGCAAAAGGGCUAAAAAAGGAAACAG